rnacentral:rRNA from 1 species
CCUACGGGAGGCAGCAGUGGGGAAUAUUGCACAAUGGGGGAAACCCUGAUGCAGCGACGCCGCGUGAGAGAUGAAGGAUUUCGGGAUGUAAAGCUCUAUCAGCAGGGAAGAAAAGGACGGUACCUGACGAAGAAGCCACGGCUAACGACGGGCCAGCAGCCGCGGUAAUACGUAGGGGGCAAGCGUGAGCCGGAUUGACUGGGUGUACAGGGAGCGGAGACGGUCCGGCAAGCCAGAUGGGAAAGCCGGGGGCUCAACCCCGGGACUGCAUUUGGAACUGUCAGGCUAGAGUGUCGGAGAGGCCGGCGGCAUUCCUCUUGUAGCGGUGAAUUGCGUCGAUAUUAGGAGGCACACCAGUGGCGCCGGCGGCCUGCUGGACUAUGCCUGACGUUGCGGCUCGACCGCGUGGGGAGCAAACCGGAUUCGAUCCCCCAGUAGUC